CGGGGAAUGCCAUUUCAGUUCUUAAUCCUUCACCAAGUAAUAGAGAUGAUGAUAAUAUGCAUUGCUUCACGAAAUCGUUUGCCAAGAGCCAAGAGAGAAAUCGUCUUCAUUUGAGAAUAAUUAAUUUUGUGUUCGAGAAGGCAAUUGGAGGUCCUAGAGUAAGAGGCACAGACUUGAGGGCAAAUAACACACCGACACCAUGGGCCAUCUUGUCUCUUCCAACAAUGUCCCCUGUUAGGACAGGAGCCAGAAGCACAUAGCACCCCUCAAAGAAGCCAAACACAGUAGAGUAGAUCACUAGCCCAGUGUAGGAGGUCAAUACAGGACACAGAGUGUUGCUAAUUCCAAUCAUGAGGAAGGAGAUCUGGUAAAGGUACAAUCUGUUCACUCUUGGGUAGUCAGCCACCUUGCCAAAAAUGAGACGUCCAAGAGUAGAUCCAACUGACAUGAUGCCGAUGAGCAGAGUUGCUCUAAAUGGGUCGAUACCUUCUUCUGUGGCAAGACGCACCUUGGAAAGGACCCAUGCAAAGUGUACCUACACCACUUCCUGAGGAAGUGAUCCCAUUGGCUAAGGAGAGACGCUCUGAAAAGUACUGGCCUAAGAUUACCACAGAUGGGAAGUAACACAUGCUUGCUCCAACACCAAAAAGGAACCCAUAUGUCAAGUCCAUCAGAUUGCACGUAUUUUCAAGUAGUUAAGAAGACUGAUGAUGUUUGUCCGGAUGUUUACGUCUUUUCCUCUUCAAGGGACGUGGCCUCAGUCUUGUACAUUCAAGUUCGGAGCAACUCCAUCAAAACGUCAGCAUUACCAUGGAAACCAUUUUCUAAUCAGGAUGCAGGAAAGGGAACAACAAGUUUGAUUCCCUGGUAACUAGUGGCAAGUCAUGACACACCAACGCGAUUAGAUGAUAAAAUUUUCUAACUAGAACGCUCGUCUGCAACAUUUAUAGCCGAACCCAAUGCAAGUGCGCUGAUCUUUACUCAUUACUCAGGCGGUCAGUUGGAGGCUUGAGUUACAUGUCGGUUCUUUCACUUAUCGCGGUUAAGACUCUAAAGCGCAUGCGUGAGGAACCAUGUGAAAACGGUAUGAAAGGCAUAACGUCUUUCACAGGCUCUUCAAAUCUUUUUCACGUGCCAUUCACAUGCAUGUUGAAUUCACCGGCAUGAACGUCAAGUGCCUGAGUACACGCUGAUACGCGUCUAGUUGUUAUAUAGCGAAAUGCAAAGUUCCCACCGAUCGCGAUUAAUCCCCUUGAAGUUAUUGGAAAUAUCAUUAUUAAUCAAUUUGGCGCCUUCGUUCCAAUAAGCGCCCUCCUCUUAUUCUAAGGAGCGCCCCAGUUGCAUAAGCACCCUCUUUCUAAAGAGCGCCCCUAUUCCAAUAAUACAGUGAUGGCACUGUAAAAGUACCUGUACAUUAAGAUCAACCAUGUUCAUCUUCCUUAAAUCGCUCAUUUGAAGCCUCAUCACAAAAGCGAUUCUCACAGGCGAUUCUCAAAAUUCCCUACCAAUAUUAGGUGAAUAUUCACUUCAGUCUCUUUGUUACCUUUACAGUCUCUGUUAUUGUUCCUUUGUAAAUAAACAAUAAAGCUUUGUUACGCACAUUCUGCUGCUUCUCAAAAAAAAAAACAUAUUGUGUGAGGCAGAUAUUCAGGUGGUCCAGUGAGGUGGUUUGACAUUUGUAAAAGCACUUUAAUUCCUUCAUUUAGCUCGUCUGGUGACUAAUAAUUAUUAAAAAAAUAAAGCAUCACAUGUCAUAUACUUCUCUCGUGAUA